UGUUGCACUGGCUGUCCUGGAACUUGCUCUGUAGACCAAGCUGGUCUUGAAUUCAGAGAUCCAUCUACCUCUGUCUCUGUACUAGACUUAAAGGUGUGCACCAACACGAAAGAGACCUGGCCCCAGCAGCCUCUGCCUGGCUUAUCAUCUUCAUCUGGCCACAGAGAAUUGAACUUUGUAUUGCAGAGUCUUAUUGAUCUGUUUCCCCUGGUACCAUCUCCAGACAGAUGGACCCAAAGUUAAUCUUUGUUCAACAUCAGGGACCUCAUCGGAGCACCCACUAUUACCAGAGCUGGAGAGUAUUGCCAAGAGCACACUUCACACGUGAAGAGCAGUAGGUGUGAUCUUGGACUCACUUUGUUAUUUCAGUGACAAGCACGUUCUCACUCAAGGGUGUCCAGCGGUGUGCUGAUACUGCCUUUGAUAAAUCUUCACUAAACUUGAGUUAAAUCUUCACUAAACUUGGGUGGACAUCCUAGGACAACACUGGAAAAGGCGGGGAGCUAGGACGUGAGACAUCCUGCUUGGUCAUAAACAGCUAAGUCCAAGUGUAAAUUCUAAUAUUCUGUUCAAGGCCAUCUGUUGAUCCCAUAGUCUUGCAAAGGGCUCAUUCAUUUUCAGAACACAGAAAAUUCCACCUGUAAAACGGGAUUCAUUUGGAAGGAUGUGAUGUUGUUCAUCUCAAGUCUUUUUCAUUCACUGAAAGCUGGCAUGUGGGAAUUUUCUCCUCCUAAACUGGAAUUAUGAAGCCAUUAUGCUGAUGUGAAGCCUACAUCAGACUCCAUUUCUGCAAAACCCUGAUAAAAGUCCCACUGGCUGCAGCGCCACCUACUGCCAGAGCCUGGAAUAUGCCUGCUAUCCAGAAGCCCACCAGAAAUCCUAGCAAGACUGCGAGCUGCCUCCUUACCCAGCUGCCAAUCAUCAGGACCUCGGCAUUUUGCCAGCUGUCCUUUCACUUGAUGCAAGACACACAUAAGCCCUGGGACCACUGAGCAAAUCACAAGAUCCUGAGAAAUGGUGUGUCACCAGCUUCCUCCAAGUCCAGGGAGCUGCUCGCGUCAUGCUCAAACACCUGAUCAAUCAGUUCCUUCGGCAGCCCACCCUCGAGAAAUGAGUUGUACGUUUGCUUCCAACCUGAUCUUGUGUUGGGGAAUAACCUUUUUGUAUACUGUGAAGAUGUGCUUUUGCCAAGGUGCCUUCUGAUUGGUUUAAUAAAGAGCUGAAUGGCCAAUAACAAGGCAGGAAGAUGCAGAGAGAGAGAG